UACGUAGGGUGCGAGCGUUGUCCGGAAUUAUUGGGCGUAAAGAGCUCGUAGGCGGUGUGUCACGUCGGCCGUGAAAACCUGCAGCUUAACUGUGGGCGUGCGGUCGAUACGGGCAUCACUGGAGUUCGGCAGGGGAGACUGGAAUUCCUGGUGUAGCGGUGAAAUGCGCAGAUAUCAGGAGGAACACCGGUGGCGAAGGCGGGUCUCUGGGCCGAUACUGACGCUGAGGGGCGAAAGCGUGGGGAGCGAACAGG
rnacentral:rRNA from 1 species